AUCGUGAGGGGGACUUCCUGAAGGAGGUGCAUCGUGACGGGGGCGUCGUGACGGGGAUGUCGUGAGGAGGGCGCGUGGUAACGGGGGCAUCGUGAGGGGAGCGCGUCGUGUGGAGGGCGUCGUGACGGGGACGUCGUGAGGAGGGCACGUCGUGAGGAAGGCGUCGUGAGGGGGAGGUCGUGAGGGGGACGUGACGAAGGGGGCGCGUCGUGACGGGGGCGUCGUGAGGGGGAUGUCGUGAGGAGGGCGCGUGGUAACGGGGGCAUCGUGAGGGGAGCGCGUCGUGUGGAGGGCGUCGUGACGGGGACGUCGUGAGGGGCGCGCUGUGAGGACUAAAUUAACAAGCUGAAGCCAGCUUACCUUGGAUGUGGAUCAUUCUGGCAGUGUUCAACUUUGAGACAAGGAAGUGUGUGACAUUAUUGUCAGCGGAGAGAGGCCCCAGGCAGAAGGUCACUUCCUGAGGUGUCUGGGGAGCACUGCGGCAAGAGACCCCCAUUUCCCAGCAAAUGCUUCCUUACUCAAUCUUUCGGCUACCUGGACUUUACUACCACAUCUACAGAGCCAUCAUUGGCUUCUAAUGAUGAGCCUGAGGCACCGGGGCGCCUUCUGAAUCAUCAGAGCCAGAUGAAAUUGUGUGUUAUUGAGACGUGCUGUUCCCAUCUUUGCAAAGAGGCCAUGGAUGCAUGCAAUGAAAGCUUUUGCUGAGCCGAAUACGCUGUUAGCACGACCGUCUCCCCACUGACGUAUUGCACCAGACAAACACCAGACGUCAAGGUCAUUGGGAAAGCACCAACAUAUUCAGCCAGGCAGUGUGGGGAUGCACCCCCAGUCCCGAGAUGAAAACCUCCAGCCAGCCCAGCGCUUCCCAGCAGGGAGCACAGAACACCAUGAAGCCUCAAGAUGUUGCUUUCCUAAAACAGACCAGCGUGGUUCAUGGAUUUGGGGCUCUAAGUGCCCCCCAUUUCCCUUCUCCUAGACCUCGUCCCCAGCAUCGCGACGCUAUUGGGGCUGGAGCACCCAGCUGGGAGGUUAAACUUUCCUAACCUGGGCUCAACCUUGGUUUCGUCUCUCAGUCUUAAUUUUGCUUCAGCCUGGUCUGUCUUGCUGGUUUAUGCUGUCAUCUAACACAGGGCCAGCAAUGAAGAUGCUUAGUAAAAGCUGUUGAAAGGAUAAAUUUAAAGGUUUUAAUUGUUUUAUUUUACUAUUUUAUUUAUUUUUUUCAUUUCUUGAAUAUAUAACAUGCACUGGCAUGCCCCUCUAU
rnacentral:lncRNA from 1 species